rnacentral:lncRNA from 1 species
UGAACAUGGAGUCAGGAGCAGAGGAACAUGCGGCAGAGAGCUGGGCAAAGGCUGAGCCCACCAGGCCUGGCAGCCGGGGAAAGAGAGCCCCCUGGGUCUGAAAUAGAGGCUGGAGAGGAGGACUGUGAGUCCAGAGGAGGGAGAGUGAUGGUAUCCCACACACAAGCCAGCGUGUCUAGGACUCCUAUCUGAAGACACUGCAGAGCACCUCCCCACAUUAUACUUAGAAAUUACAAAGAAGAAGAAAGUAACUUUUCCUGGCUUCCUCCACUUUAAUCAAGUGAUCAAAGUUAACAUCACUGCAACGGUAAUGGGAUGAUGAAGCCAAGCUGGGAGCAGGGGUGCACUGAGAACAGACGCCGCUUCUGCGGUAUCCCUGCCAGAAAGCCUCAACCUGAACCUAAUCAUGAGGAAACAUCAGGCCAACCCAAACUAAGGGACAACCUACACAUUAAACGUCUUGGAAUCUCCGAAAGUGACAAGGUCAUGAAAAUCAAGGAAAGGCUGAGGAGCUUUCCAGACUGAAGGCAGCAAAAAGACUUGGCAACCGAAAGUAACGGCGGCUUCUGAACCAGAUUCUGUUGAUGCCCACAAGGACAUCACUGGGACCACUGGCGGGACUUCCCUGGGUCUAGACUGAAUGGUAUUAAAGUAUCCAUGUCAAUUUCCUGAUUUUGAUAGCGGGGCUGGUCAGGUAAGAGAGUCCUUGUAGAAAAAUCAGGAAAGU